rnacentral:rRNA from 1 species
UACAGAGGGUGCGAGCGUUGUUCGGAAUUAUUGGGCGUAAAGGGCGCGUAGGCGGUGCGGUAAGUCACCUGUGAAAUCUCCUGGCUCAACUGGGAGCUUGCAGGCGAAACUGCCGUGCUGGAGUGUGGGAGAGGUGAGUGGAAUUCCCGGUGUAGCGGUGAAAUGCGUAGAUAUCAGGAGGAACACCUGUGGUGGUAGACAGCUUACUGGACCACUUCUGACGCUGAGACACGAAAGCAUGGGGAGCAAACAGG